UACGAAGGGUGCAAGCGUUACUCGGAAUUACUGGGCGUAAAGCGCACGUAGGCGGAUUGUUAAGUCGGGGGUGAAAUCCUGGAGCUCAACUCCAGAACUGCCUUCGAUACUGGCGAUCUCGAGUUCGGGAGAGGUGAGUGGAACUGCGAGUGUAGAGGUGAAAUUCGUAGAUAUUCGCAAGAACACCAGUGGCGAAGGCGGCUCACUGGCCCGAUACUGACGCUGAGGUGCGAAAGCGUGGGGAGCAAACAGG
rnacentral:rRNA from 1 species